CAGACAUGAUAAUCCCAUUUAACAAUCAAAGUUUCACCUAUAAAGACGCCCGUGUGUGCUCAGGAAACACCCACAGAGACACAGAAGCAGCCACAGAGAGAAAUGCCCCAGGGCCGGGCGCAGUAGCUCACGCCUGUAAUCCCAACACUUUGGGACUGUGAGGCAGGCGGAUCACUUGAGGGCAGGAUUUCAAGACCAGCCUAGGCAACACGGUGAGACUCUGUCUCUAGAAAAAUAAAAAAAUCAUCCAGGCGUGGUGGUGCACACCUGUAGUCCUAGCUACUUGGGAGACUGAGAUGGGAGGAUCACUUGAGCCCAAGAGGUUGAAGCUCUCGUGAGCCAUGAUUGAGCUGCCGCACUCCAGCGUGGGCAACAAAGUAAGAUCCUGCUUAAAAAACUGUUGGCUGGGUGGAGUGGCUCACACCUCUAAUCCCAGCACACUUUGGGAGGCCGAGGCGGGUGGAUCACCUGAGGUCGGGAGUUCUAUUCCAGCCUGGCCAACAUGGUGAAACCCUGUCUCUACUGAAAAUAUAAAAAUUAGCUGGGCGUGGUGGCAGGCGCCUCUAAUCCCAGCUACUUGGGAGGCUGAGGCAGGAGAAUGGCUUGAACCUGGGAGGUGGGGGUUGCAGUGAGCUGAGAUCUCGCUAUUGCACUCUAGCCUGAGCAACAAGAGCGAAACUCCGUCUCAAAAACGCCAGGUGUGGUGGCUCAUGCCUGUAAUCCCAGCACUUUGGGAGUCCAAGGAAGGCAGAUCAUCGAGGUCAGGAGAUCAAGGCCAGCCUGACCAACAAAGUGAAACCGUGUCUCUAUUACAAAUACAAAAAUUAGCCAGGCGUGG
ensembl:lncRNA NARF-AS1 NARF antisense RNA 1